rnacentral:rRNA from 1 species
GAUGAACGCUAACGAUAGGCUUAACACAUGCAAGUCGAGGAGCAGCAUAUGAGUAGCUAUAUUCUGGUGGCGACCGGCGCACGGGUGAGUAACGCGUAUGCAACCUGCCCAUAACUGAGGUCUAACCCGUCGACAGGCGGCUUAAUACCUCCUGUCCCAUACAAACAUUCUGGUAUAUUCAGCAAAAAUUCAUUGGUGCGGCACGGGCAUGCGUGACAUUAGGUAGUUGGUGAGGUAACGGCCCACCAAGCCUGCGAGGUCUAGGGGUUCUGAGAGGAAGGUCACCCACACUGAUACUGAGACACGGACCAGACUCCUACGGGAGGCAGCAGUAAGGAAUAUUGGUCAAUGGGCGAGAGCCUGAACCAGCCAAAUCGCGUGAAGGAUGAAGGUAUUAUGUAUUGUAAACUUCUUUUGUUGGGGAAUAAAGUGCGGUACGAGUACCGUUUUGUAUGUACCCGAAGAAUAAGGAUCGGCUAACUCCGUGCCAGCAGCCGCCGUAACAC